UUUUCAGCCCCAGCCUGCCACCCAGGUGUACCCGGUUCAUGUAGGCUGCAGGCUGGCAUAAAACACAAGAAUAUGAGCUCAACUUGGUACCCAGUACACAUAGAACCAGCUGAAGUUGCCUCAGAAAGCAAUGGUUGUAUGGCAUGCCAGCUAAGAACAGAGAGAUGUGUUGAAGUCCACCACAUAGAAGAAUUUCUCUUGUGAGCCCUAUUUAAAACUCAAGACUAUCAGAGUUACAGAUCUUUGCUGGCACAACUUCAGGUUGAAUUCUAUACCAUCAGCUAUUCAAGGACUCCAUUAGAAUACCAAUUGCUUCCUCCAAUAUGUAGCUUUGCCUGAUGAAAGUUCUCUUGCUCUGAAUAAAAUGGAGUAUCACUUGGAAGUGA